rnacentral:rRNA from 1 species
UACGUAGGGUGCGAGCGUUAAUCGGAAUUACUGGGCGUAAAGCGUGCGCAGGCGGUUUUGUAAGCCAGAUGUGAAAGCCCCGGGCUUAACCUGGGAAUGGCAUUUGGGACUGCAAGGCUUGAGUGCGGCAGAGGAGACUGGAAUUCCUGGUGUAGCAGUGAAAUGCGUAGAGAUGUGGAGGAACACCGAUGGCGAAGGCAGCCCCCUGGGCUAACACUGACGCUCAGGCACGAAAGCGUGGGGAGCAAACAGG